AUAAAUGCUAUGAAGAGAAGAGUAGUGAAAAGGAAUUCUUAAAGAGAGCUAAUGUUUGGUGAAAGUUAGUAGAAGAAAUUUUCAUGAAGAUGGACUUGGAGCAUAUUUCCCGAGCAAUAUUUGUUAAGGAAUUACGGCAGCAUCCGUUAUAAUGCAAGGUGAUGAUGGUCACCUAAUGAGUUGUUUAUUGUGAGAUAAAUAAGAAGUAGAGUGGUAACACGUAUAUACGUCUCUAUA
rnacentral:ncRNA from 1 species